UUCUGUGAAAAUAAAAGCCAGAAAAUACUAUAUUUAAUGUCAUCCUAACUCUACUUCAAAGCAGGAAAAAAUACUGCUUACAAAAAACACUUUAAGGAAUGUUAUCAACAUUUUGACAGCGAUUUCUAUGAGUGUUGAGAUUACAGGGAAUACUUUUGCUUGAUUACAUAUUUUGGUGUUUUAUAUAUUUUUCUAUACUAAGCACACAUUGCUUUUAUGAUAGAAAAGCAGUAAACUUUAUUAAAUAAAGUAAAUAGACAAUAGUAAGUUAAAACAUGAGGAUAUGUGUGCAGGAAGAGGGCUUUGGCUGGACCUGGGGCCCUGGGUCCACUCAAGCUGUGUACUUGCAGAGCGAGGGCAUGGCCAAGGUCAUGCUUUGCCAACUUGACAAAUAAAAAGAAUAGUAACUUAGUGUUGUUUAAGCUUUGUUAAUUUGAAUAACCAUUGUUGUUGAACACAGCCUUUGGAAAAAACACUGAGAAAGCAUUUCAGGUAUCUGCCAUGGAAAAUACCAUCAAGUGGGACACCCGCAGCGAUCUCUGUACCCACAAAAGUCACACUUGCUAUCCUUGGUGAAUUUUCCUUAAAAACUGUGGAUGAACUUCCAGUGACUGCGUAAAUAAGACCCCCAGGAUGAAGGUCAUGUAACCUGAGCAUGCCCAGAUGAACCAAGUGUGCAAUCACAGGGGGAACCUAAGUGCCCAGACUGAGGAGCAGAGACUGAAUUAAGAAGCAGACACUGCAUGUCAGGAUCCAGGAUCCAAUCAGAUCGAGCUCUGGCAUUGCCCCACGGUCGAUAGCAGGAUCCAGUCAGAUCAUGCCUCCCAGCAUCACUUCAUUGCAAGAUCCAACCAGAUCACACCUCAUUACCCUAUGUUUAUAAAACCUGACCCAAACCCAGCUUGGGGAGACACACUGGGGCAUUUCCUCCUGUCUCCUUGCCAAAUAAAGAAUUUUUGCUCAAAAGUGAGUGCCAUGGUAUUCACCUCUGUGUACAUCAGGCAGCAAGCCCAUUGAUUUCUCGGUAACACUACCACAGUCAGGAUGC
rnacentral:lncRNA from 1 species